rnacentral:rRNA from 1 species
UACGUAGGGUGCAAGCGUGUCCGGAAUUAUUGGGCGUAAAGGGCUCGUAGGCGGCCAACUAAGUCAGACGUGAAAUCCCCCGGCUUAACCAGGGAACUGCGUCUGAUACUGGAUGGCUUGAAUCCGGGAGAGGGAUGCGGAAUUCCAGGUGUAGCGGUGAAAUGCGUAGAUAUCUGGAGGAACACCGGUGGCGAAGGCGGCAUCCUGGACCGGCAUUGACGCUGAGGCGCGAAAGCCAGGGGAGCAAACGGG